UUAAGUUCAGCGGGUAUCCCUACCUGAUCCGAGGUCAACCUUUGAGAGGCUUUAACGGCGCCGCCGCCCGGGCCCGGUUAGCGAACGUUUUACCACAACGCUACGGGGCGGACGGCUCGGCCGACGGGACUUUGAGGCGCGCGGAGGCCGCGGCGCCCAAUACCAAGCCAGGCUUGAUGGGUGAAAUGACGCUCGAACAG
rnacentral:misc_RNA from 1 species